AUGCUUUCACGCCCAAAUCAAAGGGGGGAAAUCUAAAUCCCUAAGUCCUCCACUGCUCUUCUUCUUCAUUCAAUGGCACCGGCGAUCCAGGGAGCUGACGACGGCGAAGCCUCAAGGCCACCAUGCUUCUUCGUCUCUGGUGGUUCGCAACCGAGAGCGAGACGACCCUGGUUCACGAUGGUAGUGGAGGGAGGCGACCGAUAGGCCUUCGACGGUGGAGCUUCAAAGACACCAUCCAUUCAUGGCGGCUUGAAGAAUUGGGGGUCAUCCUCUCUAUUUUUUCACUUUCCCUUCUCGGUUUUAGUGGCAGCGGCAGUGAUUAAGAGUCAUCGGUGGCCGAAAUCAGGCUGGCCAAGACGUCUUGGUGGAGGCAUGACUCUAAGAUCAGGCGGUUCGGUGUCGUGAAGGUGACGAUGGCCAAUUUCGAGCAUAGGUAACGACAAUAUCACGAUCGUGUCUCGACGAAGAGGUUGUAAUCAUCUUCUCAAUCUCUUCUUUAUUUCUUAAUUCAUGAUCUCUUAUCUUUUUGAUAAAUAUUUUUUAUUCUUCAUAGCCUCUCGUUCUCACUGUGGAUAUCUUAUUAAUGCAAACCGAUUGUUGAUUUUAAUGGUUAAUAUGUGAUAGAAAGCUAUGCAAUGAGUUAAAGUGGCAAAGUUAUAGUAAAUUGUAUGUAGAGUUUAAUGGAAACUUUAUCAAGAAAUUUCUCAACUUCUCCUGUCAUGUUUGCUAACGGCAGAAUGUUAAAUUCAUAUUUUUCCUGGAAUGAAUUUGCAGUGAUAAACAUAAGAUAACAUAGAAAAGGGGUUCCUACAUCUUACAGUUAAACAAGUUUAAGAGUGAUAUGCAUUAUAAUAAAAAUUAUUCUUAUUCUUCAUAAUAAGGACUCAUUUAAAUUCUUAGACUAGCCUUUUAUGAAUAGAAGAAAAUGCUAGGACAGUACCUGUUAGAAUUUAUGUAUGUGGUACGAGUAGGGUACAACAACCUUCUCCUUUAUCCUUUGGGUAUUUCUCCUUUUGGUUGAUUGAGAUGAUGCUCUCUUUUACCCAAUAUUCAAAGUAGUACUUCUUCCUUUUCUCUCAAAUACCCCUGUUUUUAUCCUUUUUCUACUAUGAAACUCUCUCUUUUUGGUUUCUCUCUCAUUGUGUGUAUGUAUGAGGAGAAGUUACUUUCUUGGUGCACUUUGAUCGAAAAAUUACGGUCUUGGUGCACCUUUUUAAAAAAUUACCAUUUUAGUGUACUUUAUUGUAAAUCGGCAACCAUGCUGCCGAUUUCAGUCUGCAUUUUAUUUAUUUAAUUCCAUCCCCUAAAAUCGGCAAUGGAGGAGGAGUUUUAGGUAUAUUUAAUUUUUUUUAAUUUUCCCCUAAAUCGGCAAUGGGGGGGGGAUUUUCAAUAAUUCAAUUUUUUUUUUAAUUCCAUCCCCCAAAAUCGACAAUGGGGGAGGAGUUUUAGGUAUAUUUAUUUUUUUUUUUUAAUUUCCCCCCUAAAUUGGCAAUUGGGGGAGUUUUCAAUAAUUAUUUUUUUAAUUUCUUCCCCUAAAACGGCAGUGGGUAGUUUUACAUAUAUUUAUUUUUAUUUUUUGUUUAAUUGUACAUAAACCGUAAGCAUAAUAACAUAAAUCAUCAAUAGUUUAUUUAAACAUUAGUAUUUAGGAAAACAAAUAUAUUACAUUUGAAUUGGUUAAAUCCCAGAAAAGUUUAGUGACGUCUGUGUGAUGAAGUGCCACAUGGAGGUGGUUUUCUCCUUCUUGGCGGUUGAACUCUUAAUUGUUGUUCAGUCCCUCAAUCGUGUAGGCAGAGAAAAAAGUGCACAAAUAAUUGAUUAGGAAGAGACUUUUAUGCACAUAUAACUAAUUAGAUAUGUGAAAUUUUCUCAUAAGGAGAAAACAUACAAUUAUUGAUCGGUUGUAGACCAAUUAAUCUUGUUUAUCCUAAUUUUCACAAAAGCAAUCAUUCAAACAUUCAAAUAAGCAAGGGUUUCAUUUAAAAUACAAAUGAAAUACAUAAAAACAAGUAUUCAAAUAAAAUUAAGACAUUUAGUCACAAGAAUUCGGAGGAUAAAAAAUAUAGUUAAGACAUCAAAUUCAAUUAAGCCACAUGAUUUUUAUCAAGAAUUCUGAGUACUCCUCUUAUAAAAAAAACGUUAGCCAAUUGAUGUAAUGUCUCAAUAAACUCUAUAUUGUGAUCUCCUUUUUACACACAAUCUUUUAGAAAAUGAUAGCUUACAUCUAUAUGUUUAUUCCUUAAAUGUAAUAUGGGGUUCUAAGUUAGAUUAAUUACACUUGUAUUGACACACUUGAUUGGUAUAUUACCAAGUUUAAGACUGAAAUUAAAUAAUUAUUGUCUAAUCUAAAGGACUUGGACACAACAACUACCAACAGCUAUAUACUUUACUUCACCAUUGAAAAGUAACACAAGAUUGAUUUUUUCAAUGCCACACAAGACACUAAAGAUUUUCCUAGCAAGUAAAAAUUGUCUCUAGUGCUUUUCCUAUCGAGUUGACAUCCAACAAAGUGAAAUCAAAAUAACCUAGAAGAUUUAAGUUUGUAUCCAUAGGAUACCAUAAACCCAUAUUAGCUGUUAAUUUUAGGUAUAUCAAAAUCCUUUUACGUUAAUUUAAGUGUGCUUCUCUAGGAUUAGAUUGAUAUAUAGCACACAAACAAAGCUUAAACAUAAUAUUAGGUCUACUAACAGUUAAAUAUAAUCAUGAACAAAUUAAGCCUUGGCACUUUGUUAACUCAACCACUUUUCCUUUGUCAUCCUUAUAUGUUGUUUGUGUACCUCACAACAAUUCGGAAUGUCACGAAAUAAUACUUAUUGGCUGAGUCACGACCAGGUCGCUCUCUUUAAGACAUUGUGUGGUAUUGCUAAAGUUGUGCAAGCAGACUAUAAACCACGUCAUCCCCUAGAUAAAACAACUCAGUUCUCUAUUAUUCGAUUUCUUACUACACUAUAAGAAUCGAUCUCGGGUACACCCACAAUAUGGCUACUACUGCUAAUUCUCGAAAUUCACACAAUAUGGCUACCAGUGCCAAUUCUUUUCCCACAAUACUGACUAUCAAUGUCAAUUCUCAAAAUUCCCAUAAUUUGGUUGUCUAUGUCAAUUCUCAAGUGUCACGGAAAGAGAUGGAGAUAAAGUUGUCAGAAAUGUGUCGGUAGAAUGUUAUAAGGUAGAAAAAAGGGUUGAGUAAAACGUACUUAACUUUGGGAUGAGUUAUAACGAUUUAUAACUAGAGUCCUCCAACGACUCCCUCAUUUGAUGAUCACAAUGGGUGGUAAAUCCCAUGAUCCGAGGGUGGAAAAUUUUCCACUCGGAUCCUCCCUUAUCAUGAUAGAGUCUUUCGCCCCACUCCAUCCACUUGCCAACCGUAUGGACUCAGUCACACACGUGUAUUGAUUUGGUUAACACACGUCCAAGCCCAAAAUAUAAAAGAGUAAAUAAAAAAUAUUUUUUAUAUAAAAAGAUUGUUGGGCCUAAUCCCAAGCCCGAACCCGACCUGAACACAAGCUGAGUUGGACGGAUGGCGGAGGAGGUGGUGGUGGUGGUACGUACACGCGCGUGUGUUUAGAGAGAUUUUAUUUGUAUGAGUCCUCACCUACUCACAAAACUCAUUGUACCAUUGGGGCACACCCCAAGGUUGUAACUUAAGGCUUAUAAAUUCUUUCAACUUCUCUCAUCCAAACAAUGUGGAACUUGAGGAGUUUGUUUUAUUUCCUACCUCCAAGAUCCUCAUUAAUGACCUCAUUAAUAUGCAUUAAAAAUACUUUAAAACCAUCAUUUUUUCAAUAUUAUCCAAGAAACAUAAAGUUACCAUAGGUAUGGUAGUUUCCUUUGCAUUCACCAUAUCAAACAUUUGCAAUAUUUGCUUGAUUGAUGAAUAUACCACCACCCAUUUGUACCAGUUUUCAUUAGCAACUCCAAAUAUUAUAUCAAGAACAUACAUUUGAAAUAACAAUAUAUGAUUCAAAUUUCUAUGAAAGAAUGAAGAUGUAUAAACUUUCCCCUUUCAAAGCCUCCAUCUAAGAUAAAUUUACUAUGUCUAUCAUAUCAAGCUCAUGGAGUUUGUAUUAGUCCAUACAAGGCCUUUCAAAGUUUGAAAAUAUGAUUUUGAAAUUAUAAGUUUUCAAAACCGGGAUUUGGUAUACAUAGACCUCCUCCUGAGUGAAAUCAUUCCAUAAAGAACUCUUUAAAUCCAUUUGAUAUAACUUGAAGUUUAUGGAUGAAGCGAAAGCUAAAAGGAUUCAAAUUGACUCUAACUAAUCAAUAGGUGCAUAAGUUUCACCAUAAUCUAUGUAUUCUUCUUGGUUUUAGUCUUUUGCAACAAAUCUAGCCAUGUUUCUUAUAAUAACACUAUAUUCGUCUAAUUGAUGCUAAAGACCCACUUUGUGCCAAUUGUAGGGCACCUUUAGGCUUAGGGACCAAGUGUUAAACUUCCUUUUGAUUUAAUUGGGUUAGCUCUUCUUACAUAGCUAAGAACCGAUGUUCUCCCUUGGGCGCCUCAUCUAUAUUCUUGAAAUCUAAUUGAGAAGCAAAUGGAAAAAAAUAUAAUUUUUUUGGAUUAUUACGAGUUACCACUCCUUUCUUAAUAUCACCAAUGAUCUUGUCGAUUGGGUGAUCUUUCAUUGUCUUUCAUGCUCUUAGUGAGUUAUCAUGAACUUCUUGUCUUGAUGAAGAAGUAGAUUCUUCAUCUUUUACGAUUUCUUGCUCCUUUUGAUAAUUUUUCCAACAAUUUCUACAACAUUAUAAAAAAUACAUUUAUUUUCCUUUUGAUUAUUAGUUUCAUAAAAUACAACAUAAAUAGAUUCUUCAUUAGUCAUAGUUCUUUUAUUGUAAAAUGCCUUCAUCAAAUUUGCUUAAAAUCUCAUUUCCAUUAUUUAGUACAAAACACUUAAAACCAAAUGAUUCUUCAUAAUAAACCUUUUAAGGAUCCUAUUCAUCAAAUGAAUAGUGGUGUUUACGUCAUCCACCUAAAAUAAUGAGUUUAGAGUCGUUAAGCCUAACUCUAGCUAAUUCUUCUAGAGAUCUAUUUUUCAUUUCUAAAACUUCAUUUUGUUGAGGAGUUCUAGGUAUAGAAAAAAGUAAUAUGUUAGCCCAUGUUUUUCCCAAAAUGAAUCAAAUUCAUGAUUUUCAAACUGACCACUAUAAUCACUCUUAAUAGACGCAAUGUCGAGACUCUUUUUAAUUUUGGAUAAUCUUAGAAAUUAUUUUGAAUGAUUCAUAUGCAAAACCUUUACGUAAGAGAAAUAAUGCCCAAAUAAAUCUAAAGAAACUUUAUCGAUAAUAACCAAGGUAUAGUAAUCACCAAAACUCAUAACUUUAUAUGGUCCAAAUAAUUCUAUAUGAAGCAAUUACUAAAUCUAUAUUUUUGGCAAACCAAUUACUAAAUAAUUUGGAAUAAAUUUAUAGAAAUUGUCAUGACUUGAUUUUCGGUUGGGAGACCGGCUCUGCAACUUAAGAAGAGGCGAACUCGAUUUCCACCUCUCUCUUUUGAUUUGGAGUCAACACUACGUUUUUUGCGGUUAAAACGUAGAAAACUAUCUUUAUGCCCGAAUUGGAUAAAAAUUGUCUUUAAACAGAGAUCUGGGCUCGGGAAUCGGUUACGAAUCGGGAAGGUAUUAACAUCCUGUCUGUCGGCAUUAAAACAGUAUCCUUGCUAAUCACAUGAGCUUUUAUACCCUUAAACAAAUUAUUUUUAAAAUUCAAUAACUAAAGAAAAAUAUUCUUAUUCUUUAUAUUUGUAUCUGACAAGAGUUUAUCUUGCUCCUACGUAUCCCUGUGUAUAAUACGAAAAUUAAGACUACGUAGUUCUGGUUCUAAAAUCGGUUGGUUGAAAUAUAAUUUGAAUUUUGUCGUUCUAAAGAUAGACGAAGCAUCAUAAGCUAAAGUUCGCACCAAACCAAAUCUUAAAAUGAUUUUUUUAAAAGUAAUUGAAGUAUUAUUUUCUUAAAGAUAAUUAAAACUUGGUCAUUUACAAGAUAGAUGAAGCAGCAGAAACUAAUAUACGCACUACAUCAAAUCUCAAAUAGAUUUUUGAAAUAGAAAAAAAAAUAAUCCCUUGCGAGAUAGAUGAAGCACCAAAACUAAUGUCUGUACCGCAUCUAAUCUCAAAUAGGUUUUUGAAAUAGUUAAAUUUUACUUGUUUGCGAGAUAGCUGAAGCAGCAAAAACUAAUUUUCGCACCGCAUCUAAUCUCAAAUAUAUUUUUUGAAAUAGUUAAAUUUUACUCGUUUACAAGAUAGAUAAAGCAGCAACAACUAAUGUCUGCACCGCAUCUAAUCUCAUAUAGAUUUUUUGAAAUAAUUAAAUUUUACUCGUUUGCGAGAUAGAUGAUGCAACAAAAACUAAUAUUCGCACUACAUUUAAUCUCAAAUAGAUUUUUGAAAUAGUUAAAUUUUACUCGUUUGCAAGAUAGAUGAAACAUCAAAAUCUAAUAUAUGCACUGCAUCUAAUCUCAAAUAGGUUUUUUGAAAUAGAUAAAUUUUACUCGUUUGCAAGAUAGAUGAAGCAUCAAAAACUAAUGUCCGUAUCGCAUCUAAUCUCAAAUAAAUUUUUGAAAUGCUUAAAAGUUUAAUCUUAUUUAAGAAUCCGAAAUUACAUUACAAUAAAAAUACCAAUUUUGGUUAGGAUAGAAAUUAUUUGUGUUUAUUAUUUUAAGGAAUGAUUUUUAAUUAAGCUUUUAUCAAAUCAAACAAACUAUUACCAUUAAACACAUAGAAAAUAAUAGAUGUUGAUUGUGUUCACUUUAAUAAGAUUUCAAAAAUUGCUAAAAAUUACAUUAAAAUUAGAGAUAGAUAAAUGGUUAACUAAACAAAAACAAAUAAAUAAAUCAAAAAAAUUGAAAUAAACAAAACAAAAAGGGGAAAAGAAAUAAAAGGUAUGGAAUUAAAAAAAGGGUAACGAAAUGUUAUCUAGGGAUGACAACGGGUACGGGCGGGCACGGGUAGAAGCUUCCCGCUACCCGUUUCAAAAUAGAAGAGUAAUACCCAUACCCGCCUGUACCUGUACGGGUACCCGUGAGCGGGUAUUUGCGGGUUGUUCUGGGUACCGCGGGUUUCCUCUAUUAUAAAUAAUUUUUUAAAAUUUUACUUCUAUUGUGUUUCAAAUAAGAUAAAGCUUAAUUAUUUUUGUACCUUUUGAUUGAAUAUGUGGCAAAAAUUCUAAAUUUAUUGGUGGUUUCCAUUUGUGUGAUUUUUAAUUCUCAUUUUUUAACAAAAAAUAUAUAUUUUCUUUGUAAAACAAGUGUGUUUCUACACACGUAAUAAUAUUUGUAAGGUGUUUCACCACCAAACUCAAUAAAAUAUGUAAACAAAUUAAAAGAAAAAAUAUACAUAGUGUAAUAAAUGUUAGAAUAAUGUAUUUUUUAUUUUAAUUAAAUAUAAUAUAUUAAUCAUAUAAAUAACAGGUAUCGCGGGUACGAGUACCGUCCGUAUGUACUACAUGUAUUUUUAAAAACCCGUUUAUAAUACCAGCGGGUACUCGUUUGUGACUCGUACCCGUGAAAGCCCAAAUCCACACAUUUAGAAAAGGGGAUUAGCCCAUGCUUUCACGCCCAAAUCAAAGGGGGGAAAUCUAAAUCCCUAAGUCCUCCACUGCUCUUCUUCUUCAUUCAAUGGCACCGGCGAUCCAGGGAGCUGACGACGGCGAAGCCUCAAGGCCACCAUGCUUCUUCGUCUCUGGUGGUUCGCAACCGAGAGCGAGACGACCCUGGUUCACGAUGGUAGUGGAGGGAGGCGACCGAUAGGCCUUCGACGGUGGAGCUUCAAAGACACCAUCCAUUCAUGGCGGCUUGAAGAAUUGGGGGUCAUCCUCUCUAUUUUUUCACUUUCCCUUCUCGGUUUUAGUGGCAGCGGCAGUGAUUAAGAGUCAUCGGUGGCCGAAAUCAGGCUGGCCAAGACGUCUUGGUGGAGGCAUGACUCUAAGAUCAGGCGGUUCGGUGUCGUGAAGGUGACGAUGGCCAAUUUCGAGCAUAGGUAACGACAAUAUCACGAUCGUGUCUCGACGAAGAGGUUGUAAUCAUCUUCUCAAUCUCUUCUUUAUUUCUUAAUUCAUGAUCUCUUAUCUUUUUGAUAAAUAUUUUUUAUUCUUCAUAGCCUCUCGUUCUCACUGUGGAUAUCUUAUUAAUGCAAACCGAUUGUUGAUUUUAAUGGUUAAUAUGUGAUAGAAAGCUAUGCAAUGAGUUAAAGUGGCAAAGUUAUAGUAAAUUGUAUGUAGAGUUUAAUGGAAACUUUAUCAAGAAAUUUCUCAACUUCUCCUGUCAUGUUUGCUAACGGCAGAAUGUUAAAUUCAUAUUUUUCCUGGAAUGAAUUUGCAGUGAUAAACAUAAGAUAACAUAGAAAAGGGGUUCCUACAUCUUACAGUUAAACAAGUUUAAGAGUGAUAUGCAUUAUAAUAAAAAUUAUUCUUAUUCUUCAUAAUAAGGACUCAUUUAAAUUCUUAGACUAGCCUUUUAUGAAUAGAAGAAAAUGCUAGGACAGUACCUGUUAGAAUUUAUGUAUGUGGUACGAGUAGGGUACAACAACCUUCUCCUUUAUCCUUUGGGUAUUUCUCCUUUUGGUUGAUUGAGAUGAUGCUCUCUUUUACCCAAUAUUCAAAGUAGUACUUCUUCCUUUUCUCUCAAAUACCCCUGUUUUUAUCCUUUUUCUACUAUGAAACUCUCUCUUUUUGGUUUCUCUCUCAUUGUGUGUAUGUAUGAGGAGAAGUUACUUUCUUGGUGCACUUUGAUCGAAAAAUUACGGUCUUGGUGCACCUUUUUAAAAAAUUACCAUUUUAGUGUACUUUAUUGUAAAUCGGCAACCAUGCUGCCGAUUUCAGUCUGCAUUUUAUUUAUUUAAUUCCAUCCCCUAAAAUCGGCAAUGGAGGAGGAGUUUUAGGUAUAUUUAAUUUUUUUUAAUUUUCCCCUAAAUCGGCAAUGGGGGGGGGAUUUUCAAUAAUUCAAUUUUUUUUUUAAUUCCAUCCCCCAAAAUCGACAAUGGGGGAGGAGUUUUAGGUAUAUUUAUUUUUUUUUUUUAAUUUCCCCCCUAAAUUGGCAAUUGGGGGAGUUUUCAAUAAUUAUUUUUUUAAUUUCUUCCCCUAAAACGGCAGUGGGUAGUUUUACAUAUAUUUAUUUUUAUUUUUUGUUUAAUUGUACAUAAACCGUAAGCAUAAUAACAUAAAUCAUCAAUAGUUUAUUUAAACAUUAGUAUUUAGGAAAACAAAUAUAUUACAUUUGAAUUGGUUAAAUCCCAGAAAAGUUUAGUGACGUCUGUGUGAUGAAGUGCCACAUGGAGGUGGUUUUCUCGUUCUUGGCGGUUGAACUCUUAAUUGUUGUUCAGUCCGCUGCAAGAUUCUCGCUCUUCCACGUGUCUCAAAUUGUGGCUCCUCCUCAUCUGAAUCAUCUUCAUUUUCAUCAACAUCUUCAACGACAACCUCAUCAUCAGUAUGUUGUAUACCAAAAAUAUUUGUAGACGGCAUAAUGGAACGAUAAUAUUGUUGAGAAUCAUAUGCCGAGAAUGGUGUAGUUGAACUAGUAGCAAACAUUGUUGGUAUUGGGUUUUGAGAACUCGAUGAUAAAUAAUAUGUCCUUGAUAAUGACCAUCCACUGGAGUUUGUUGUGGAGAGUUAGUUUCCGUUAUAUCAUAAUGAUGAGUAGGAGGAGCAUCAUCAAUGUGGGUAGAGUAUGCAUCGGGUAUAGUUCAGCCAAUGCUCCCAUCAUUUCACGUCCCGAUGAGAAGAUGUCAUACAAAGAUUGUGUGGGAUUAAUAAGUGAAGCUGGAGGACGACUCUGAUCACAAAUUCUUUUUGCAAAAGUGUACUGAAAAAAUUAAAGAAAAUUAGAAUUAAAUAAUAUAAUUACAAAGAAAUUGUAAUUUAUAAUUUUUUUUACCAUUGCAUCAGAGUGUGCUCCAUCUCUAGAUAUAUAUCUUCUAGUUCUUCUUAAAUACCACUGCAUAUACUUUGCUGGUCUUCCCUCCACGGCAUAAUUAUCCCCAUUAUUCCACAUUUGAAUCCAGCGGCGAUGCUUACGUGACCAGUUACAGUCAGUUUUGCCACGUAAGUAAGUUUAUGAAGUUUUUCACAGUUCACUGGAUCUUGUGGAAUUGGUUGACCAAAACCAAAUUGCCUCAUAACCUGAUCAGUAGGGUGUCAUUCCACAAUUGCGAAACAGAUUAGUGGGACACAUGACCGGCUUUUCUCGGAGAUGUUUGGUAGGUAAGGCAGUUGGGAAUAUGGCAUCCACCGAAACUGGAAAAAAUGUUACUUAAAAAAUAAAUAUAAUAAAAAUUCAAAUGUAUAUAUAUACUAAAAUAACAAAUGUAAAUAUACCUGAUCAACGCGCAUACGGUCAAACAUUGCACGUAUGAUAUUUACAGCAUGUCCAGGGAUGUUGGUGGUGAUUAAAUGUUGUGACCACCUAGUGGUAAUUUUUGUUAGUUAAUAAAAAAACUUGAAUCACUGUUGUGUAAUAAAAAUUUGCAUGUAAUGGUAAAAUUAAUAUAUACCUUUUUACCAAUGGAAAAUAAGGUAUUGUUGGGUCGCGUAGUCUUUGUGCAAGAUUUUCAAUGCGAUCAUAUGCCCAUGAUUGUAGGAGUAGUCUGUACUGGAAUGUCUCUGUUAAGUCAUCAAGGAAGGGCAGAUACAUAAGGUGAACUCGGUUACCUGAUGUAUCUGGCAUAAGAAAUCCCCUUAUCAUUCUUAGAAUAAAUGCUUUUGCGUGUUGUUCCAUAAUAACGUCAUUAGCAUUGUCAGGGAGAUCACGAAAUGUCCUCUCCACCCAAGUGAGUUUUACCCUCUGUCACAUUAAUUCGUUACCAGCUGGAACAUCACCCAACAACUGCAUGCAAAAGUCUUCCCAAUCCAUACUUGUCACUCCGGUAACAACUUCUCCUUCUACCGGAAUGCCAAGUUGGUAAGCCACAUCUUCAAGAGUCACGGUGGCCUCUCUACAUGUAAAGUAAUAUGUGUUUCCGACCUCCAUCUCUCGAUCAAUGCUAAUAGUAGAUGGUUGUCGAUUUCUACUGCUCCAAGUGUCAACAAGUUACCAAAGACAGUGUUACGGAUAACUUGUAACACCGGCUCAGAAGGUAGUGAUUGUCAGAAACAAUAUAUGGGUCAAAAAGUACAUUCAAUGCCAUUCCAUACAUUGUUUGAUAUAUGGUCAUUUUGCAUUGUAAGUAAUGAAGUGUCGAAUGGUCCUGGAUUAAUGUACUCCAUUUGUAAGUGAGAAGGAGAGAAGAAAAUUUGAAAAAGGUGUAAAUAAGGUUUAUACGUGAGAAGAAGAUUUAUUAGAAGAAUGUAUGUAACUUUGUAAGUGAGAUAGAAAUAUUUAUAGGAUAGAGUGGUUGUGGGAGUAUUUACGGGGAGGAAAUAUGGAGUGUGGUUGUAAUUAUUUAUGCGGAGGAAAUAUGUAUGAAGGUAGAAAUAAUUAAUUAGGGCACCAUAUGGAAUAUUUAUUCUGCCCUAACCAAACUCGGCAGUAUGGAUGUCAAGUUAUUUAUUUUGCCCUAACCGUGGUCGCAUCAACUCAUAACUUAAAAAAUAAAUAAAAACAUAUUAAUAUCAAUAACAUAACAAUAUUUUUUAAAUUAAAAAUGGGACAUACUCAUUUCUACAACAUUGUCUUUUAGAUCAGAAUCUCGGAAUUCCUUAUUGAAAUUACUAGCUACGUGACGAAUACAAUAAACUGAGUCUACACUAGACCAUCCUGCCAACUCACUUCGGAGUGCAGCUAAUAAACCUGUACCCCUAUCUGAUAUAAUACACAGUUUUUGCUGAGCGGUAACAUACGUCUUAAGAUUGUAAAAAACCACUCACAAGCUUCUUUCGUCUCUCCUUCAACAAUGGCAAAUGCAACUGGAAAUACACGUCUGUUACCAUCCACUUGUAGGAUUGGCAAUGUUCCAGUAUAUUUCUCAGUCAAAAAUGUCUCAUCCACUUGUAGGAUUGGUUUACAAUAACCAAACCCUUCAAUACAUGGUUUGAAUGCCCAAAAUAUUCUAUCCAGAAUGAUUCGACAUGGGUCUUCCAUGUCAUCUACAACUUGGUGAUGUGCUUGAUAUUUUACAAUUGUGCCCGGACAAAAAUAUUGUACAGCAUUCAUACAACGUGGUAAUUCAUUAUAUGACCCUUCUCAAUCACCAUAAAUUUUUGCCAUUGCCAUUUGUUUUGCAGUCCACGCCUUUCUAUACGUGACUGUAUAACCAAAACGACUAACAAUCUCCUUCACCAGUGCCUUAACUAGUAUAAUAGGAUCUGCAGAUACCAAAUUAACAAUAAGAUCUGAAAUAAAUGACGAAUUUAAUUUACUAUGAUCUUGGGAAACUAACAAAGAUACACAACUGUGUGUUCCAUUAAUUUUCCUAAUCUCCCAAUCAUCGCGCUUAACGUUAUAAGAAGCGCGAAUUCGCCAAUCACAUCCUGCACCAAAAUGUUUACAUUUGGCAACGUAUCUGUCUGGUCUAGACUCUGCAACAAUAUAGUCAAACGAAUUUUUGAUAUGAAAUUCUCUAAUUGCAUUUAUUGUAUCUUCUUUAUGUUCAAAUUGCAUCCCAACAAACAAAUCAUUAUCAAUAAUAUCCGUUAAACCGGUUUUGUGUCCAAUAUCACGACCAGCUUCAGAAUUUGUGUUCAAAAAAAUGAUGACGGAGUAGUAUAUGUAAAACUACAACAUGAACUAUUAUCAAACUGAACUUCUUCCUCAUCACUGCAUAUUUCAAUCUCCUCUUCAUCGCUAAAAUCACUAACAAUAUCUCUCACAAUCACCAUCUCCAUUAAACCAUUAACAACAUUAAAACAUAUAAACUUAUAAUAAUGAAUUAAAAUGUAAUAAUUGAAUGAUAUACUAACUUCUACAAAUAAAAGCUUUCUCAAACAACCUAAUAAACAAAAUAUAUUGUACAUACAAUUGCACCUUAGGGGUAUAUAUAGUGGAGGGACAAAAAUUAAAAAGUAUAAAUCUCCCCCCCAUUGCCGAUUUAGGGGGAGGAUUAAAAAAAAAAUUUCAAAAUCUCCCCCCCCCCCAUUGCCGAUUUUGGGGGAUUAUUAGAAGAAAAAAAGGAAUCGGCAAUCUUGUUGCUGAUUUACAUAUUAUCUACACCAUUCCCGUAAUUUCUCAAAAAGGUUCCAAGACCGUAAAUUUUUGGUCAAGGUGCACCAUGUCAGUAAAUCUUCCGUAUGUUUGCUAUCUCUUUUUUCUCUUGAACUUGUGCUGCUCUCUGACUAGUUUUGAUAACUGUGUGUAACUGUGUAUGGGCUGCUCUCGGAAGAUUUACAUAUACUACUCCGUUAUCAUUUUUUGAACACAAAUUCUGAAGCUGGUCGUGAUAUUGGAUACAGAACCGGUUUAACAGAUAUUGUUGAUAAUGAUUUGUUUGUUGUGAUGCAAUUUGAAUCUAAAGAAGCCAAAAUAAAUGUAAUUAGAGAAUUUUAUAUCAAAAAUUCGUUUGACUAUAUUGUUGCAGAGUCUAGACCAGACAGAUACGUUGUCAAAUGUAAACAUUUUGGUGCAGGAUGUGAGUGGUGAAUUCGCGCUUCUUAUAAUGUUAAGCGCGAUUAUUGGGAGAUUAGGAAAAUUAAUGGAACAUACAGUUGUGUAUCUUUGUUAGUUUCCCAAGAUCAUAGUAAAUUAAAUUCGUCAUUUAUUUCAGAUCUUAUUGUUAAUUUGGUAUCUGCAGAUCCUAGUAUACUAGUUAAGGCACUGGUGAAGGAGGUUGUUAGUCGUUUUGGUUAUACAGUCACGUAUAGAAAGGCAUGGGCUGCAAAACAAAUGGCAAUGGCAAAAAUUUAUGGUGAUUAGGAAGGGUCAUAUAAUGAAUUACCACGUUGUAUGAAUGUUGUACAAUAUUUUUGUCCGGGCACAAUUGUAAAAUAUCAAACACAUCACCAAGUUGUAGAUGGCAUGGAAGAUCCAUGUCGAAUCAUUCUGGAUAGAAUAUUUUGGACAUUCAAACCAUGUAUUGAAGGGUUUGGUUAUUGUAAACCAAUCUUACAAGUGGAUGGGACAUUUUUGACUGGGAAAUAUACUGGAACACUGCUAAUAGCAAGUUCACAAGAUGGUAACAGACGUGUAUUUCCAGUUGCAUUUGCCAUUGUUGAAGGAGAGGCGAAAGAAGCUUGAGAGUGGUUUUUUUACAAUCUUAAGACGUAUGUUACCCCUCAGCGAAAACUGUGUAUUAUAUCAGACAGGGGCACAGGUUUAUUAGCUGCACUCCGAAGUGAGUUGGCAGGAUGGUCUAGUGUAGACUCAGUUUAUUGUAUUCUUCACGUAGCUAGUAAUUUCAAUAAGGAAUUCCGAUAUUCUGAUAAAAAAGACAAAGUUGUAGAAAUGGGUAUGUCCUAUUUUUUAUUUUAAAAAUAUUGUUAUGUUAUUGAUAUUAAUAUGUUUUUAUUUAUUUUUUAGUUUAUGAGUUGAUGCGACCACGGUUAGGGCAAAAUAAAUAACUCGGCAUCCAUACUGCCGAGUUUGGUUAGGGCAUAAUAAAUAUUCCAUACGGUGUGCUAAUUAAUUAUUUCUACCUUCAUACAUAUUUCCUCCGCAUAAAUAAUUACAACUACUGUCCAUAAAUAAUUACAACGACUCUUCAUAUUUCCAUCCUAUAAAUAUUUCUAUCUCACUUGCAAAGUUACCUACCUUCUUCCAAUAAACCUUCUUGUCACGUAUAAACCUUAUUCACAUCUUCUUCAAAUUUUCUUCUCCUCUUCUCACUUACAAAUGGAGUACAUUAAUCUAGGACCAAUCGACAUUUCAUUACUUACAAUGCAAAAUGACCAUAUAUCAAAUAAUGUAUGGAAUGACAUUGAGUGUACUUUCUGGCCCUGGUAUUGUUUCUGGUAAUCACUACCUUCUGAGCUGGUGUUAUAAGUUAUCCGCAACACUGCAUUUGUUAACUUGUUGACACUUGGAGCAGUAGAAAUCAACAACCAUCUACAAUUAGCAUUGAUCAAGGGAUGGAGGCCGGAAACAUAUACUUUCCACUUUACAUGUAGAGAGGCCACCGUGACUCUCGAAGAUGUGGCUUACCAACUUGGCAUUCGGAUAGAAGGAGAAGUUGUUACUGGAGUGACAAGUAUGGAUUGGGAAGCACUUUGCAUGCAGUUGUUGGGUGCUGUUCCAGCUGGUAACGAAUUAAUGGGACAGAGGGUAAAACUCACUUGGCUAGAGAGAACAUUUCGUGAUAUCCCUGACAAUGCUAAUGACGUUAUUAUUGAACAACACGCAAAAGCAUUUAUUCUGAGAAUGAUAGGGGAAUUUCUUAUGCCAGAUACAUCAGGUAACCGAGUUCACCUUAUGUAUCUGCCCUUGCUUCAGGACUUAAUAGAGACAUUCCAAUACAGUUGGGGCUCGGCUGUAUUGGCUUGUCGUAAUCGAGGAUUAUGUCGUGCAACAAUAAUUAGUGAUCAAAAAGAGAUUAGAGGAUGUCUACUACUCCUACAGUCAUGGGCAUAUGAUCGCAUUGAAAAUCUUGCACAAAGACUGCACGACCCAACAAUACCUUAUUUUCCAUGGGUGAAAAGGUAUAUAUUAAUUUUACCAUUACAUGUAAAUUGUAUUACACAACAGUGAUUCAAGUUUUUUUAUUAACAAACAUUACGACUAGGUGGUCACAACAUUUAAUUACCACCAACAUCCGUGGACAUGCUGUAAAUAUCAUACGUGCAAUGUUUGACUGUAUGCGUCUUGAUCAGGUAUAUUUUCAUUUGUUAUUUUAGUAUAUAUACAUUUGAAUAUUUAUUAUAUUAACUUUUUAAGUAACAUUUUUUCCAGUUUCGGUGGAUGCCAUAUUCCCAACCGCCUUACCUGCCAAACAUCUCCGUGAAAUGCCGGUCACGCGUCCCAUUGUUCUGUUUCGCAAUUGUGGAAUGGCACCCUACUGAUGUGGUUAUGAGGCAAUUUGGUUUUGGUCAACCAAUUCCACAAGAUCCAGUGAACUGUGCAAAACUUCAUAAAGUUGACUUACGUGGCAAAACUGAUUGUAACUGGCCACAUAAGCAUCGCCGCUGGAUUCAAAUAUAGAAUAAUGGGGAUAAUUAUGUCGUGGAGGGAAUACCAACAAAUACAAUGUCUUUGAACCACUACUCUGAGUAUAUGCAGUGGUAUUUAAGAAGGAUUAGAAUAUACAUGGCUAGAGAUGGAGCACACUCUAAUGGAAUAGUAAAAAAAUUUAUAAAUUACACUUUCUUUGUAAUUAUAUUAUUUAAUUCUAAUUUUUUCAGUACACUUUUAUAAAAAGAAUUUGUGAUCAGAGUCGUCCUCCAGCUUCACUUAUUAAUCCUACACAAUCUUUAUGUGACGUUUUCUCAUCGGAACGUGAAAUGAUGGGAGCAUUGGCUGAACUAUACCCCAAUGCAUACUCUACCCACAUUGAUAAUGCUCCUCCUACUCAUCAUUCCGAUAUACCGGAAACUGACUCUCCACAACGAACUCCAGUGGAUAGUCAUUAUCAAGGACAUACUUCAUCCGUUACUCCUCAACAACAACAAUUGUAUGGCUUUGCAAAUAUAAUUCUCCAUACAAUAAUUUCUCAUCAAGUUCUCAAUACCAAAUAUGUUUGCUACUACUUCAAGUACACUAUUCUUUGCAUAUGAUUCUCAAGAAUAUUAUCGUCCUACUAUGUCGUCUACAAAUAUUUUUGGUAUAAAACAUACUGAUGAUGAAGUUGUGGGUGAGGAUGUUGAUGAAGAUGAGGAGGAGCUACAAUUGGAGACACGUGAAAGAGCAAGAAUCUCGCAGCGGAAUGAACAACAAUUAAGAGUUCAACCGCCAAGAAGGAGAAAACCACCUCCAUGUGACACUUCAUCACAGUGACGUCAUUAAACUUUUAUGGGAUUUAAUAAAUUUAACUGUAAUAUAUUUUUGUCUUAAAUACUACUGCUUGAACAAAAUAUUGAUGGUUUGUGUGUUAUUAGAGUUACGCUUUUAAAAUAUAAAAUAUAAAAUGAAAAAGCUCCCCCCAUUGCCGAUUUUGGGGGGAUUAUUAGGGGGGAAAAAGGAAUCGGCAACCUUGUUGCCCAUUUAUAUAUAAUUUACACCAUUCCCGUAAUUUCUCAAAAAGGUGCACCAAGACCGUAAAUUUUCGGUCAAGGUGCAUCAUGACAGUAAAUCUUCCGGCUACUCUCUCUAUGUGGUAUAUGUUUUUGUGUGUACUUGAUAUCUCAAUGUUUUUCAGUGUGUGUGUGCUGUUCUUAUAUAGCUGAUUGUUGAUGUCAAAAACCUUUUGAGCUGCUUUUUUUAGGCUCAUUAACGUUUCUGAUCAUCUCUUCUUUUAUUUUCUUUAUCUACUAAUGUCUCAUAUUGUAACCGCUAGGACAUAGGGUAUUCUCUGAUGAUUGCUUUGAUUAUUGAUUAUUCCACUUAAAAUUGCCCAUUAAUAGUGUCCACUAGGUUGAUUGUGUAACUUAAACUUCUGAUUUACACCUUCUUAUUGCCAUCUCUUGAGAUUCUGCUCUGAAACUCAUGGGUGACUACUUUCCCUUUGAAUUAUGUUUCAUUACAACACUGUGUGUGUCUUUGGAAAAUGUGGAUACUUGAGCUAUUAAGUCCAUUUUGAGAAAGGGGUCAUGUGGAGUAAUGUUAUGAACCUUUAUUCCAUUCUAAAUGUAUAUACCGAGUUGCUUCAUCUGAUCGAUAUGUUUUGGAGAAAAUGAAUGGUUUGUAUGUCGAGCUUUUGAACUCUGUGAUAUCCUCCUAUAUUACUUACUACCUAGACUAGAAUUGUCAGAACACUUCCCUUAAGAAGUAGGAGCUAUAACUGCAUAGACUUGCUCCAAUUUUUAUAGUUUACUAAUAGUUCUGAUCUAAGAACUAUAAAACGAGAUAGUAUAAAGUAGCUUUUGUGUUUAGUAAAUGCGUUGUUUCAGCAAUGUGCCCUAGUGCAGUGAUUUAAUUGUCAACAUGGAGUAUGGACUUGUCAUCAAUUCUUUUGGCAAAACGGGAUGUCAUGGAUAUUGCUCUGAUUGUGCAGGAGCAUGUUGUCAACGGUAAAUACUAAAUGCAUUGAGAAUCUUCUAGUACUUUAACCAUACAUGCAGUCCCUGCCUUCCGAUGAAUAGAUAUUUAUAUGGUGUUAACAGUUAAGCGAGUCAUUUUGAUUGUUUGUCAACAGAUUUCAAGAUUGAUCUACUGCUGUCAUGUGUAGAAACUUGCUUUUCACUUUCUUUCUUGGUUAUAAACUUGUAACUCAUUUUUUCCUUGCACUUGAUCUUCUGUGUUUCUUUCACAUUGGGAAAAGGCGAAGGUAGCCCUUACUUGUAUCAACAUACUUUGCUUCCACCUCAUGUCAUACUGCUUUGUGAAUCCAAUCUCAUCAUGCCAUGUUUACUACUCUCUUUGUUAUGAGAUGUCGAAUUGAUAGAUCCAUCAAGGAAAUAGAUGAGAUGGUGAAGAGCAUGUGGCCUCAUGCAAUAAACUGAACCAUUCUUUGAUUUAAAAGUAGAUAUUUUUGCUAACAACGUCAUAUGCCUCAAGCUUAAUCUUUUAGUGAUAAUUCUGUGGGAUCAUUGUCUCUAUGUAUCAUUAGUAUAGAAAUUAGACUCAGAUUCAGAUUUGAUUUUUGAUUCUUGAAAUAUGCACCCUUUAUUGGUCUUGAGGACUUUUUGUUUCUUCUAGUCUUGUAUUAGCCAUUAAUAUGACAUACUGUUGAAAUUGUCACUCCCAAGUGCUUCUUAACUCACCAAGGCUUGAACCCAAUAAGCAUGUAAAAGUUUUUUUCGCAAUCUGACCCCAAUUCAGUUUACAUUCUUC
rnacentral:lncRNA from 1 species